rnacentral:rRNA from 1 species
AGAGACAGCAGCAGCCGCGGUAAAACGGAGGGUGCAAGCGUUAAUCGGAAUUACUGGGCGUAAAGCGCACGCAGGCGGUCUGACAAGUCAGAUGUGAAAUCCCCGGGCUUAACCUGGGAACUGCAUUUGAAACUGUCAGGCUGGAGUCUUGUAGAGGGGGGUGGAAUUCCAGGUGUAGCGGUGAAAUGCGUAGAGAUCUGGAGGAAUACCGGUGGCGAAGGCGGCCCCCUGGACAAAGACUGACGCUCAGGUGCGAAAGCGUGGGGAGCAAACAGGAUUAGAUACCCGCGUAGUCCCUGUCUCUUAUAC